rnacentral:rRNA from 1 species
GACGAACGCUGGCGGCGUGCUUAACACAUGCAAGUCGAACGGAAAGGCCCUGCUUUUGUGGGGUGCUCGAGUGGCGAACGGGUGAGUAACACGUGGGUAACCUGCCCUUGACUUUGGGAUAACUUCAGGAAACUGGGGCUAAUACCGGCUAGGAGCUCCUGCUGCAUGGUGGGGGUUGGAAAGUUUCGGCGGUUGGGGAUGGACUCGCGGCUUAUCAGCUUGUUGGUGGGGUAGUGGCUUACCAAGGCUUUGACGGGUAGCCGGCCUGAGAGGGUGACCGGCCACAUUGGGACUGAGAUACGGCCCAGACUCCUACGGGAGGCAGCAGUGGGGAAUAUUGCACAAUGGGCGGAAGCCUGAUGCAGCAACGCCGCGUGCGGGAUGACGGCCUUCGGGUUGUAAACCGCUUUCGCCUGUGACGAAGCGUGAGUGACGGUAAUGGGUAAAGAAGCACCGGCUAACUACGU